AGCCAAUGGCUAGCACUCAUUCGCGCGCGCGUUCUCCCCUCUUCUAAAACCCUAGAUCUCUCGAGCUCUGCAGAAAUCUAUGGCGGACGAUCCGAUCUCCUCCUCCACAUCUUUUCCUCCUUCAAAUCCGCUCGGCCAUGCCGUGAUUUUGAUUGUCAACAAGCUUCAAGGCAUCUCUCGGCUUGGCAACUCAUCGACGAUCCACAGGUGGCGGUCGUUGAGAGCCAGAGCAGCGGGAAAUCCAGCGUUUUAGAAGCUCUGGUGGGGAUAGAUUUCCUGCCGAGGGGCUCCGACAUCUGCACACGGCGCUCGCUGGUUCUGUAGCUCGUGAACGGAUCGUCGAGAGGGGCGGAAGAGGGCGAUGGGGGGGGAGGAGUUCUUGCACCUUCCUGGAAAGAAAUUCUUUGAUUUCGCUGCGAUUCGUAGGGAGAUUCAGAAAAGAGAUGUUCCCAAGAAAGAUAAGAGAAAAGUAGCAAUUCAGAUGUGGAGUAUGAGAAAGUGAGGAUGAAGAGUCUGCCAAGACUCCUAAGAAAAAGGAUGCCAAUAAGGAAUCUAAGUCUGUUACAAAAGCUUCUGCAAUUAAAGCAAUCAAGCGUUGGAUGGAGAAAGAUGUUGAUGAAGUGGGGAAAAUCAGCUGCAACAUAAAAACAAAAUUAGAAGAAAAUUCACCUCUCUGAAUUUUCUACUAGGGCUGAUCUCUUAUACAUGCAUGGUUAACAUGAGAGGUUCCUCACUUUAUGAAUGAAGUGGAUUUCACACAUAUAAGAUGGUGGCCCCAAAGAGCCUGUUAUAACUGGUAUGUGUAAACCAUAUGGGAGCAUCUGCUGGGGAACAUGUUUUUGCUGCUGAUCUUCUUUUAUCUGGUAUACUCGUGCUGUGAAUUACUUGGAGUAGUGCAUAUGCAGUAUUCCAUCAAGUUUUGUUGACAUAUUUGCAUUCUGUUUUUAAUUGUGAUCCAAUCGAGCUAACAUCUGCUCAUUUGAAUUCUUUAUCUGCUAUUUUUGCAGGAUUAUGCAACACAUCGUUUACUGGUUAGUUCUCAUUACACAAACUGUAUACGCAAGGCAGUAAAUUUUGUUAACUUGAUAUAUGAAACUCGAUUGCACAAAAUCUUAUAAAUUUUAUAUUGCACAAAAUCUUCUUUCUGUGGGGAAUAAAAGAAGAAUGUUAACAUGCCGGUUCAAAUGCGAGUCUAAUUCCACGUGCUAUUUAUGCUCAGUUUCCAUGAAUAAUUUGCAUUAUUUGGUUGCAGCAAUGAUAAUCUUCUCAGCCAAAUGGAAAAAGAUUGGAUUUUUCCUUCCUUGAAGUUGGGAUAAAUAAUGGGAUUCUGCCAUUGGAUAUGUUGCAUAAUGCAUUACUUGACCUCUGUAUUCUUGAAAAUGUGACUGAUUUAUAGGUUGUUUGGAGCUUCUAGAAUUUUUUUUCCAUUACAGCUCUAGUCCUUUUGAUUGAGAACUUGAUUUUCAUGCAGGAAAAGGCCAAUGACAACUGUUGUAUUUUCAUCUGAUUCCCUUUUUGCCUUCCAUAUGCUGCAACUUCCAACCCCUGAGAUUUUCGCAUGAAAGUAAAUGCUAUAUUAGCUAUGUCAAUUGCUGCUUUUAAAGCUGGUGCUGCUGAAAAGGAG